GACGAACGCUGGCGGCGUGCCUAAUACAUGCAAGUCGAGCGAACCAAUAAGAAGCUUGCUUUUUGUUGGUUAGCGGCGGACGGGUGAGUAACACGUGGGUAACCUGCCUGUAAGGCCGGGAUAACUCCGGGAAACCGGUGCUAAUACCGGAUAGAUUAUCUUUCCGCAUGGAGAGAUAAGGAAAGAUGGCUAUUGCCAUCACUUACAGAUGGGCCCGCGGCGCAUUAGCUAGUUGGUGAGGUAACGGCUCACCAAGGCGACGAUGCGUAGCCGACCUGAGAGGGUGAUCGGCCACACUGGGACUGAGACACGGCCCAGACUCCUACGGGAGGCAGCAGUAGGGAAUCUUCCGCAAUGGACGAAAGUCUGACGGAGCAACGCCGCGUGAGCGAAGAAGGUCUUCGGAUCGUAAAGCUCUGUUGUUAGGGAAGAACAAGUAUCGGAGGAAAUGCCGGUACCUUGACGGUACCUGACGAGAAAGCCACGGCUAACUACGUG
rnacentral:rRNA from 1 species